rnacentral:rRNA from 1 species
UACAGAGGUCUCAACCGUUGUUCGGAUUCAUUGGGCGUAAAGGGUGCGUAGGCGGCUUUGUAAGUCAGUGGUGAAAUAUGGCAGCUCAACUGUCAAGGUGCCAUUGAUACUGCGGAGCUUGAGUACAGAUGAGGUAGGCGGAAUUGACGGUGUAGCGGUGAAAUGCUUAGAUAUCGUCAAGAACACCUAUAGCGAAGGCAGCUUACUAGGCUGUAACUGACGCUGAGGAACGAAAGCCAGGGUAGCGAAAGGG